UUUGUUAUGUUCUAUAAUUUUAUAGCCUGUUGCAUUGGGUCAUUUGAGGAAUAUAUUUGGUUUGGGUAAAAAGGAAGCAGAAUCAAUUGCAAUAGAUGUUACCUCUAAAGUAUACCGUAAACGCCUUGCGGAAUCUGUAACUGGGGGUGCUUUGGAAGCUACAAAUAGUAAAGCACUUUGAUACUGAAAAAGCCAUUGAGAUCCAUGAACAAAUAUACCGUCAAAACCUUCAACAAUCUAUGAAGGAUGGAGAGCUUAGUGAUGCUGAGGUUAAAUCACUUGAGAGGUUGCAAGUUAUGCUUUGUAUCCCUAAACAAACGAUUGAAAAGAUCCACGAAGAAAUAUGUGGCACUUUAUUUGAAAAGGUUGUUAAGGAGGCUAUAGCUGCAGGGGUUGAUGGGUAUGAUGCUGAUGUGAAACAGGCUGUUAGAAAGGCUGCAUAUGGUUUACGAAUAACCAGGGAGGUGGCCAUGUCUAUUGCUGGCAAAGCAGUGAGUGUUUUUUACGGAUUUGCCCUUGUUUAUUUUUCUUUUUCAGUUUUCUAACAUAUUAUUUUUAAAUGGAGUUGGAGAAGGUGGGUGGGCACGGAUUUGCUUUAGUCCAAGUCAAUGGUCAAGGGUACAUGUUUAAUCAGUCAAAAUAUUUUCAUCGUCCAAUCUUUUACUUGUUUAUAUUACGAGCUACAUAGUAUAGUAAAAAACAUUAACUUUGUUACAUUUAAUGGUUGAAUAUUAAACUUGAUAAAUACUUUAUAUUUUAAUGGAACCCGGAACACCACAUGGAUCAAAUAUCAUAUCUCAAGUGUGGUCCCACAUUCUUUGGAUGGAGAAAAGGGUCACAAGAAUUUUCGGAGUAGGAGUUCAUUAGUUUUAAAGAAUUAUGAAAGGCAAGAUGCAACUCUACUUAGUUGGAAUUUGAUGUUUAUCAUCUUUUUGUAUAUCUUUUUAGUUUGUAUAACAUUACAUUGCAGAAGGUGUCUCUUAAUAGCAAUGUAGUAUUAGGUUAUAUAGUUAGGGAAAACCUAUUAAUAACAAUGUACAAUUAGAUCACCUUAAUAUC